UAUCUCUGUAGAGUCUGCAUAUCAAUAAGCGGAGGAAAAGAAACUAACAAGGAUUCCCUUAGUAACGGCGAGUGAAGCGGGAAGAGCUCAAAUUUGAAAUCUUCAAGGUUCUACCUUGACGAAUUGUAGUUUAAAGAAGUGUUUCCUGUUAGAUGAGUAGCAAAAGUUCCUUGGAAUGGGACAUCAUAGAGGGUGAGAAUCCCGUAUUUGGUUAUUCAUUCUAGCUUUGUGAUACACUUUCAAAGAGUCGGAUUGUUUGGGAAUGCAGUCCAAAAUGGGUGGUAAAUUUCAUCUAAAGCUAAAUAUUGGCGAGAGACCGAUAGCGAACAAGUACCGUGAGGGAAAGAUGAAAAGAACUUUGAAAAGAGAGUUAAACAGUACGUGAAAUUGUCAAAAGGGAAGCGUUUGACACCAGUGUUGUUUUUCCGAAAAUCAAUUACGAAUGGCUUGAUUUUGUGUUGUAUUGACCUUAAAAGCUUUCUUCACUUUUUUCAUGUCUUUUUUAAUGCACUUUUCGUUUAACAAGUCAACAUCAGUUUCUUUUGUUGUAAAAGAGUAUUCGGAAGGUGGCUUUCUUUUCGGAGAAAGUGUUUAUAGCCCUAUACUUCUACAAUCGGAGAGAUUGAGGUCUGCAGCGUAGAUCCUUCGGGGUUAGAUACACUUGUGCUAAGUUGUAGCUUUUCAUAGACAACUUGUUGACUAUGUUUAGUCAUGCGGCUUACUCGCUUGUGCUAUUUUACCUACGCUUAGGAUGUUGACUGAUAUGUAGUCGUA
rnacentral:rRNA from 1 species